AACAAUUUCGUAGAAAUAAAUAAAUAAAUAAAAUAAAUCAAAAAAAUCAAAAAAAUAUAUUAAAAAAAAAUAAUUGAAAAAUAAAUAAUUAUUGCUGUAAUAAAAAUAUAAGAAUAAAUUAUAAGAAGGAUUAAAAAAAUAACGGUAAAAAGCAUACGAAUAAUAAAUGAUAUUUAUAGCAAUAAUAAACGUUGAGCACUAAAAUAAUAUAUCUCAUAUUGCAAGUCAGAAAUUACAAUUAAUUAAAGUUUGAGAAUAAAAGUGUCACCUGCCUCAUAAUUUAAAUCAUAACAUAUUAAAAUUCGAAUAUUAAAAUGUCACUCGUCUUAUAAUUUGAAGGACGAAAAGUGUAAAUCUAAUCUUUCAAAAUUUUGUUUUGAUUAUUCAAUUUUUCGAUAUAUUAGAUUUGAGUCAAUUAAUAGUACUUUGACUUUCAAAAUCUAAAUGUAUCACUUAGUUCGACAGAUUUAGAUAGUAUAUUUUAUGUGAUUUUUACAACUAAAUUUUAUAAAAUAUAAAAUUAACUUAAACACUAUCAAUCUUUCUUUUAUUUUUUAAUGUACAAUCUAUAUCUAAAUGCUCAGGAGUAUAAAAUUAAAAUUUAAAUUUAAUAC
rnacentral:lncRNA from 1 species